GAUGAACGCUGGCGGCGUGCCUAAUACAUGCAAGUCGAGCGAACGGACGAGAAGCUUGCUUUUCUGAUGUUAGCGGCGGACGGGUGAGUAACACGUGGAUAACCUACCUAUAAGACUGGGAUAACUUCGGGAAACCGGAGCUAAUACCGGAUAAUAUUUUGAACCGCAUGGUUCAAAAGUGAAAGACGGUCUUGCUGUCACUUAUAGAUGGAUCCGCGCUGCAUUAGCUAGUUGGUAAGGUAACGGCUUACCAAGGCAACGAUGCAUAGCCGACCUGAGAGGGUGAUCGGCCACACUGGAACUGAGACAUGGUCCAGACUCCUACGGGAGGCAGCAGUAGGGAAUCUUCCGCAAUGGGCGAAAGCCUGACGGAGCAACGCCGCGUGAGUGAUGAAGGUCUUCGGAUCGUAAAACUCUGUUAUUAGGGAAGAACAUAUGUGUAAGUAACUGUGCACAUCUUGACGGUACCUAAUCAGAAAGCCACGGCUAACUACGU
rnacentral:rRNA from 1 species